rnacentral:misc_RNA from 1 species
GAUGAAGAACGCAGUAAAAUGCGAUAAGUAAUGUGAAUUGCAGAAUUCAGUGAAUCAUCGAAUCUUUGAACGCACAUUGCGCCCGCUGGUAUUCCGGCGGGCAUGCCUGUUCGAGCGUCAUUUCAACCCUCAAGCCCCCGGGUUUGGUGUUGGGGAUCGGCUCUGCCCUUCUGGGCGGUGCCGCCCCCGAUAUACAUUGGCGGUCUCGCUGCAGCCUCCAUUGCGUAGUAGCUAACACCUCGCAACUGGAACGCGGCGCGGCCAUGCCGUAAAACCCCAACUUCUGAAUGUUGACCUCGGAUCAGGUAGGAAUACCCGCUGAACUUAAGCAUAUCAAUAAGCGGAGGA